rnacentral:tRNA from 1 species
GCCCCCGUAGCUCAGUGGAUAGAGCAACGGUUUCCUAAACCGUGUGUCGCAGGUUCGAUUCCUGCCGGGGGCA